rnacentral:SRP_RNA from 1 species
GGAGUACAUGGCAUGUGCCUGUAGUGCCAGCUACUUCAGAAGCUGAGGCAACAUAAUUGCUCGAACCAAGGAAUUUUAGAAAUGUAGUGUGCUAUGUUGAUUUGGUGUCUGUCUUAAGUUCUGCAUCAAUAUGGUGUCCUCCCAGGAGUGGAAGACCACUAGAUUUCCUUAGGAAGGAUGAACCAACCUAGGUCAGAAACAGAGCAGGUCAAAAUCUCGUGCUGACUAGUAGUGAGAUUGCACCUGUGAAUAGCCAGUGCACUCCAACCUAGGCAAUAUAAUGAGACCCUCUCUCU